rnacentral:rRNA from 2 species
UUAGGAAUAUUCGGCAAUGGGGGAAACCCUGACCGAGCGAUGCCGCGUGAGUGAUGAAGGCCCUAUGGGUUGUAAAACUCUGUUCUAUGGGAAGAACGGUCAGUAUAGGAAAUGAUACUGACGUGACGGUACCAUGCCAGAAAGCUCCGGCUAACUACGUGCCAGCAGCCGCGGUAAUACGUAGGGAGCGAGCGUUAUCCGGAUUUAUUGGGCGUAAAGCGUGUGUAGGCGGUUUAUUAAGUAUAAGAUUAAAGCCCGGGGCUCAACUCCGGUUCGUUUUGUAAACUGAUAGGCUUGAGUAUAGUAGAGGCAAGUGGAAUUUCUAGUGUAGCGGUUAAAUGUGUAGAUAUUAGAAGGAACACCAGUGGCGAAGGCGACUUGCUGGACUAUCACUGACGCUGAGGCACGAAAGCGUGGGGAGCAAAUAGG